GUGAGGUGCCUUUCUGGGCGGUGGAAUUGAACUCUAGACAAGCUCUAUUCUUCCUGCCCAGGAGGGCAUUUCCUAUUUUCCCACGCCGUUACACCUGAAUCACAUCGGUGAAUCCAG
rnacentral:sRNA from 1 species